rnacentral:rRNA from 1 species
CCUUACCUGGGCUUGACAUCCACAGAACUUUCCCGAGAUGGACUGGUGCCUUCGUGUUCUUUGAGACAGGUGCUGUCUGGCUGUCGUCAUCUCGUGUUGUGAUAUGUUGGGUUAAGUCCCGCAGCGAGCGCAUCGCUUAUCCUUUGUUGCCAGCGAUUAGGUCGGGAACUCAAAGGAGUCUGCCAGUGAUAAACUGGAGGAAGGUGGGGAUGACGUCAAGUCAUCAUGGCCCUUACGACCAGGGCUACGCGCGUGCUACAAUGGCGCAUACAAAGAGAAGCGACCUCGCGAGAGCAAGCGGACCUCAUAAAGUGCGUCGUAGUCCGGAUUGGAGUUUGCAACUCGACUCCAUGAAGUCGGAUUCGCUAGUCAUCGUGGAUCAGAAU